UCUUAUGGAUGACCAAAGAAAGUGGUUACUUGAAAUGAAAACUACCUGUGGUGAAGAUGCUAUGAA
rnacentral:pre_miRNA from 1 species